UACGUAGGGGGCAAGCGUUGUCCGGAUUUAUUCGGCGUAAAGAGCGUGUAGGCGGCCAGACGUGUCCGUUGUGAAAACUCGAGGCUCAACCUCGAGACGCCGAUGGAAACCGUUUGGCUAGAGUCCGGAAGAGGAGAGUGGAAUUCCCGGUGUAGCGGUGAAAUGCGCAGAUAUCGGGAAGAACACCCGUGGCUAAGGCGGCUCUCUAGUACGGUACUGACGCUGAGACGCGAAAGCGUGGGGAGCGAACAGG
rnacentral:rRNA from 1 species